rnacentral:tRNA from 1 species
GCCCAGAUGGCGGAAUUGGUAGACGCGCACGACUCAAACUCGUGUUCCUCUGGAGUGCGGGUUCGAUUCCCGCUCUGGGCA